rnacentral:lncRNA from 1 species
AGCAGGGAGGAAGGAAGCUGCUUAGCAGCAGAGAAAAACCUGAUUCCUGAGGGAUUGUGGGAGCCCCACCCAGCUCACCGGAAUCCAGCGACAAUUCUGCGAUUCGUUUGUCACUUGAGCUGUUGUUUGUUUGUUUGUUGUUUUUUUCACAGUUUGGAAUAUAUUUCUACCAACAAUUUCUAAAUUGACUGGUAAACUCAGCACACGGUGCUGCUGCACACCAGCAGGGAGGAUGGAGCAGAGCCAAGUUCUGAGUUCCAACUCUUCCUUGGGGUGCCCAGGCCCUGAUGCACUCCAGGUGGGAAAGGAUGAAAGGAAGUCUGAACAGAUGUUUGGCCUACAUGGAUGUCUCUGUACCAUGUGUGUGCCUGGCACUCUUGGUGACCAAAAGAGGGCAGUGAAUCCUUUUAAACUGGAAUUGAAUAUGCUUGUGAAUUGUCAGGUAAGUUCUGGAAUGAGACCCAGGGACUCUGGAAGAACCAGUGCUUUUUAACUGCUGAGCUGUCUCUCCAGGUAUAUCCUCACAGAUCCCGUUUUUUGAAAGUAUGUUAGAGUUAUACACAGCCAACAAACUUCAUUACUUAUACAAAUAAGCCAAAGCUACAAGACCCUUAAUUUAAGAUGUAUUUUCUUCCA